GGAGGCUUAGCUCAGCCGGGAGAGCGUCUGCCUUACAAGCAGAAGGUCGGCGGUUCGACCCCGUCAGCCUCCACCA
rnacentral:tRNA from 1 species